UAACUGCCAAGCUACCAAAAAUCAGUUAUUGACCCAGUUCUACUCACAAGCAGCAGGGAAUAUAAAUCACUAGAUACAACAGAAUUUAAAAGUUCUUUAAAAAAAAUUAAAGUUCAAGUUAUGGUUAUAAAGAUAACUUUACAAAAGUGUGAACUGAGGCAGCACUGUCUUCUUGGGACUGCUGACAGCUAUCCUACCUCUCCUGCUGCUCAAGUACUUCCUUUCCCUGAAGCUUAGUUUGAGGAGGAGGAAGAGAGAAGAAAUCUAACCUUCCUACCAAUACAAAAGAAGCGCACACACCGUGCAGUCAAGUUCCAGAGGGCUAUCACUGGUGCAUCUUUGGCUGAAAUAAUGGCCAAGAGAAAUCAGAAGCCUUAAGUGCGAAAGGCCCAGCAGGAACAAGCCAUUAGGGCUGCCAAAGAAGCCAAGAAGGCUAAGCAGGCAACCAAGAAGUCGACACCCUCUACAACUAAGGCUCCCACAAAGGCUACACCUAAACAAAAGAUAAUGAAGCCAAGAAGGGUAAGCAGGCAACCAGGAAG